rnacentral:rRNA from 1 species
CAAUAGCGUAUAUUAAAGUUGUUGCAGUUAAAAAGCUCGUAGUUGAAACUUGGGCCUGGCUGGCGGGUCCGCCUCACCGCGUGCACUCGUCCGGCCGGGCCUUCCUUCUGAAGAACCUCAUGCCCUUCACUGGGCGUGCUGGGGAAUCAGGACUUUUACUUUGAAAAAAUUGGAGUGUUCAAAGCAGGCCUUUGCUCGAAUACGUUAGCAUGGAAUAAUAAAAUAGGACGUGCGGUUCUAUUUUGUUGGUUUUUGGAAUCGCCGUAAUGAUUAAUAGGGACAGUCGGGGGCAUUAGUACUCACAUGCUAGAGGUGAAAUUCUUGGAUUUUGUGAAGACUAACUUCUGCGAAAGCAUUUGACAAGGAUGUUUUCAUUAA